rnacentral:rRNA from 1 species
UACGGGGGGGGCAAGCGUUGUUCGGAAUUACUGGGCGUAAAGGGCUCGUAGGCGGCCAACUAAGUCGGACGUGAAAUCCCUCGGCUCAACUGAGGAACUGCACGGGAAACUGCUUGGCUUGAGUUCGGGAGAGGGAAGCGGAAUUCCGGGUGUAGCGGUGAAAUGCGUAGAUAUCCGGAGGAACACCGGUGGCGAAGGCGGCUUCCUGGACCGAUACUGACGCUGAGGCGCGAAGGCGUGGGGAGCAAACAGG